UCUACCAGGAGGGGAGAGAGGAGUUUUAGUUUGGAGCACCAAACAGAAAAAAAAUAUAUAUAUUACCUGUGUUGAAUAAGGCCACACCGAAAGUACCAACUGAGCCAUCAUCUCAUUGCAGUCUUUAUGUUGCAUGUUUGUUCCUCCGGUGGCAAUUUUCUGCCCACCAGCUUAAACAUUACAUGACUCAUCUGAUGGUUAGCAAUUUGACUUUAUCCAGGCAACACAUGAAUUAUAGCAUGUGCAAACAGAAAGACUCAGACGCAGCCCUAAAGGUGUCUUUGCACACACGUUCAGUUUAUCAGCGUCUAAAUAAACAAGCCCCAACUAGACAUGGGUUGCAUGUUACUGCAGAAAUUAAGAUUUAAAACAAGAAAUAGAUCAUUGACAGAAUGAUUUAAAAGCUUGUUGCAGAGAAGCUAAACUCUUUUUGACAUUCUGCUCCCUAAAGAGUAACACAUCAAGACUAAAAAGCUGCUGGUGGUUGGUUAAUUAGUGGACAAACAGUUGGUAACUUGCCAAUUAUACAUUUAUUACAGGAUUAUCCAAGUAAGAAUGAUUAAAUGGCAAGUUAGCA